rnacentral:rRNA from 1 species
AUAAACGUUGGCGGUGUGUCUAACACAUGCAAGUCGAGCGUGAAAGGUCCUUCGGGGCUGAGUAAAGCGGCGGACGGUUGAGUAACACGUGAGAAUCUGCCCUUCAGUGAAGAAUACCUACGAGAAAUCGUAGACAAUGCUGCAUACGUCCCUUCGGGGAGAAAGAUGGCCUCUUUGCUGUCGCUGAAGGAUGAGCUUGCGGGCUAUCAGCUAGUUGGUGGGGUAAUGGCCUACCAAGGCGAUGACGGCUAGCCGGCCUGAGAGGGUGAUCGGCCAGAUUGGGACUGAGACACGGCCCAGACUCCUACGGGAGGCAGCAGUGAAGAAUAUUGCGCAAUGGGCGAAAGCCUGACGCAGCGACACCGCGUGAAGGAUGAAGGUCUUAGGAUUGUAAACUUCUGUUAAGUGGGAAGAAAGACCUUUCUUGAAUAGAGAAAGGGGAUGACGGUACCAUUAUAGAAAGCACCGGCUAACUUCGU